rnacentral:lncRNA from 1 species
CAACAUCGAAGAACACUUACGUUUUAAGGUCGAGUUCCAGUGAUUCUUAAUCGCGUUAUCGGUUCGGCCGUUGAGAAGGCGCGCGAUGGUGGCCCACUUGUUGCCAAACCGAGCGUGGGCGCGUAUGAUCAUCUCGUCUUCUUCGGGCGUGAACGCUCGGUGCUCGACUUGAGGUGAAAGCUGGUUGCACCACCGUAGCCGGCAAGACUUUCCCGAUCUUCCGGGGAUUGAUUUGCUGAUU